CACGCCGUAAACGAUGCUCACCGGCUCUAUGCGAUAAGACAGUAUGGGGCUAAUANGAAAUAAUUAAGUGAGCCACCUGGGGAGUACGUCGGCAACGAUGAAACUCAAAGGAAUUGACGGGGGCCCNCACAAGCGGAGGAACAUGUGGUUUAAUUCGAUGAUACGCGAGGAACCUUACCCGGGUUUAAAUGUAUGUNGCAUUAUGUAGAAAUACGUAUUUUCUUNGGAACUGCAUACAAGGUGCUGCAUGGUUGUCGUCAGCUCNUGCCGUGAGGUGNCGGGUUAAGUNCCAUAACGAGCGCAACCCUUAUGAUUAGUUGCUAACGGUUCAAGCCNAGCACUCUAUUCACACUGUCNCCGUAAGGUGCNAGGAANGAGGGGAUGAUGUNAAAUCAGCACGGCCCUUAUAUUCGGGGCUACACACNUGUUACAAUGGUCGGUACAGCGGGUUGNAUUUACGUGAGUAACAGCUAAUCCCAAAAAUCGGNCUCAGUUCGGAUUGGAGUCUGCAACUCNACUCCAUGAANGUUGGAUUCCUAGUAAUCGNACAUNAACCAUGGUGCGGUGAAUAC
rnacentral:rRNA from 1 species